AGGCUGUAGCCGAGCGCGGGCAGGACUCGUCCCGGCAGGGUUCCAGAGCCAUGGGAGCGGAAAGGAGGCUGCUGUCGAUUAAGGAGGCCUUUCGGCUGGCGCAGCAGCCGCACCAGAACCAGGCGAAGCUGGUGGUGGCGCUGAGCCGCACCUACCGCACGAUGGAUGAUAAGACAGUUUUUCAUGAGGAGUUCAUUCAUUACCUUAAAUAUGUUAUGGUGGUCUAUAAACGUGAACCAGCUGUGGAGAGGGUAAUAGAAUUUGCAGCAAAGUUUGUUACCUCAUUUCACCAAUCAGAUAUGGAAGAUGAUGAGGAAGAGGAAGAUGGUGGCCUUUUAAAUUAUUUGUUUACUUUUCUCUUAAAGUCUCAUGAAGCAAACAGCAAUGCAGUGAGAUUUAGAGUGUGCCAGCUCAUAAACAAGCUUUUGGGAAGUAUGCCAGAAAAUGCUCAGAUUGAUGAUGAUGUGUUUGAUAAAAUUAAUAAAGCCAUGCUUAUUAGAUUGAAAGAUAAGAUUCCAAAUGUGAGAAUACAGGCAGUUCUGGCGCUUUCACGACUUCAGGAUCCCAAGGAUGAUGAAUGCCCAGUGGUUAAUGGUGUGUGUAGUUUCCUAAAUCUUUUUUCAGAUUUGUUGAUUUUGUUAAAUUCUCAGUAUUUGAAAUUUUUUAUUAUGGUCUAUACAUUUGAAGAGUAUAGGUAAUUAAUAUAUGAUUCAGAUUAAAAAAAAAAAAACCUAAGUAGCAACCACCCAGCUUAAAAAAAAAGUCAGUACUUGCAUCCUAUCCCAGUUGCAUCCC
rnacentral:sRNA from 1 species